rnacentral:misc_RNA from 1 species
AAAAAAAAUCGAAAUAUUCUUGAACGAGGAUCUGGGUAGCUCUUGAAUUUUUCAUUCAUCUUUUCUCAUUGUUUGUUCAAAUCUAAACAAAGAGAAACCUCGCUCAAAUCUAAAUUGCUCGAUCUUCAUAUCUUGGUUUUUAGAGGGAUAAUGUAGAAGCUGCUCAAGAAUUUGCGAAACCGAAUCAGUUAUCACCAAGGAUAUAAGAUGUAUUUGUCUUAAGUAGAAACUUUAAUAGGUGCAACAAAAAGAGACCAUGAAUAUUCUGCCAAAAGGUACCAGAUCAAGCAUUGCACAUUACCUG